GUCAGUUAAAAUUUCACCAUUUUGCCUCUUAGUGCACAUGCUUUAACUCAUUCCCCAACUCCUGAGAUCUUAUGGGGAAGCUGCUGAUCAUUACUUUCAGUUGUUUCUAUCUACUGGGAGACAGCCUCUUCCUGGCACCAGCUAUGACCAAUUAUUAUUAUAGGGAGACAGCUUAACAACUGCCUGGCCAUCACUGGAUGGUUGCCUCACAUUCGUGAAGGGGUGUCUCUCUUGCCCGGCUCGUGUCCGACUAACUACUGACUGUAACAAAGAGACUAUUUAAAAGUGUUUGAGAGCCAUGGGGCUUGGAAUCUAUUUAGAUCAAUACACAAGGCAGAAAGGACAAGACCCAGUUGCUGAACUGAAACAACUGAUUCCAUUGGUAGUCUCUCUAUCAGCACCAAACCUGGAAAUGCCACUCCUCAAGAAAAAGACCACCAAUCCAAGCACCUUUCUAAAAUCACUUAGUGGAGGCCUGAAUCUUGUAAGAAAACUAACUUAGAGUUUCUGCAUUUACAAAUAAAAUUUCUUUU
ensembl:lncRNA novel transcript